AACACGGUGACCGCCCCGCUUGCCCCACCUAGUUUACCAGCUCCACCUGCUCAGUGAAAGGUUUGAGGUGGACGUGUCGGAGGAUAUGGGUGGUGAAGUCACGGCGCAGGUUACCCACACCUUUUACCACGCUAACUGGCCGCAGCUUUUCACUGAGGUCGGGCAGGAUUGUAUCUCCGUGUUCUGCUCUAGAAAUGCUCAGACGUGUAGAUGGAAGCACUAGGAGGAAGAAGAAAGAGAAACAAUAGAGGAGGAUG